rnacentral:rRNA from 1 species
UACAGAGGGUGCAAGCGUUGUUCGGAAUUAUUGGGCGUAAAGGGCGCGUAGGCGGUGCGGUAAGUCUGCAGUGAAAUCUCUGGGCUCAACUCAGAGUCUGCUGUAGAAACUGCCGUGCUUGAGUGUGGGAGAGGUGAGUGGAAUUCCCGGUGUAGCGGUGAAAUGCGUAGAUAUCAGGAAGAACACCCGUGGCGAAGGCGGCUCUCUGGGACGGUACUGACGCUGAGACGCGAAAGCGUGGGGAGCGAACAGG